rnacentral:rRNA from 19 species
GAGUUUGAUCGUGGCUCAGAUUGAACGCUGGCGGCAUGCCUUACACAUGCAAGUCGAACGGCAGCACGGGAGCUUGCUCCUGGUGGCGAGUGGCGAACGGGUGAGUAAUGCAUCGGAACGUAUCCUGGAGUGGGGGAUAACGUAGCGAAAGUUACGCUAAUACCGCAUAUUCUGUGAGCAGGAAAGCGGGGGACCUUCGGGCCUCGCGCUCUUGGAGCGGCCGAUGUCGGAUUAGCUAGUUGGUGAGGUAAAGGCUCACCAAGGCGACGAUCCGUAGCAGGUCUGAGAGGAUGAUCUGCCACACUGGAACUGAGACACGGUCCAGACUCCUACGGGAGGCAGCAGUGGGGAAUUUUGGACAAUGGGGGCAACCCUGAUCCAGCCAUGCCGCGUGAGUGAAGAAGGCCUCGGUUGUAA